AAGGACAAAACUCCGCCUCAACCCUCAGUCAGGAAAACAGAAAUAAAUGAUCUCAAGUACCGUGAUUGAAUACAUUAAACCUGAUUGGUUGUCGGUGGCUAGCUAGUUAAACGGUAAAGUUACACCAAACUCCAUUUAAAAAGUACUCCACUUAACUGUUACUUUGCUUAUCGAUAAAGUACACCAUGUGUACACUCUAUAUUAUGAUUUGCUUUACUUCACUAUUUCAACUGAUACAUUCGGAUUAUCCCACAUACAGCAAACCACUUGUUAUAUCAGUAAAAAAAAAAAAAUUAAAAAAGUGUCAACACCUCUGUCUCUCCUGUCCUGCUCGUUAGUAGCUUGGCAAUUAGCGACACCAUCCUUAAAUAACGUUAAAUUACACCGCGGUGGGCGGUAGCGAGCAGUGUAAACCCACAUGUAAAAGUUUUCAUUUUUGUUGGAGCCUGUUUUUCAGACCUUCUAUUGCGCUACCAACCUCCACCCCAUCACCACCAUGACUCUCCAUGAUAUCCAGGAAGACAGGAAGACUUAUCCAAAGGUUUCCAUCAACCAUCUCCUAGCUCCACUCCACCACCACCAGCAUCUAGACUCUGGGGGGGGUCCUUUAUGCUUUUUUGAAGAUUCUUCACAUUGAGGCUAAUCCCCAAAAAUGUUGCUAACAUCAAUAAAUAGCGUUAUACACUUA